rnacentral:rRNA from 1 species
UACUUAGGGUGCAGGCGUUACUCGGAAUUACUGGGCGUAAAGCGUGCGCAGGCGGUCUUUUAAGUCAGAUGUGAAAUCCCCGGGCUUAACCUGGGAACUGCGUUUGAAACUGGAAGGCUAGAGUGUGGCAGAGGGGGGUGGAAUUCCACGUGUAGCAGUGAAAUGCGUAGAUAUGUGGAGGAACACCGAUGGCGAAGGCAGCCCCCUGGGCUAACACUGACGCUCAUGCACGAAAGCGUGGGGAGCAAACAGG